rnacentral:rRNA from 1 species
AUGGGCGGCAGGUCCGGGGAGGGGUCCUCCUCCACGUCGUCUAAACGGCGGCGGCGGGAGUGGGACUGCGACUGCGAUUGCGCCGCGCGUAGCAGGCCACGGCGGAAGCAGCACCUUUAUUUGGCGCUGGAUGACUCGACGGGCGGCUACAGCAUCUACAAGCUUGACGCCGACGACAUCUCGGACGACUCAGGAAGAGGAGGAGAGCGUGAGCUUCCCGGGCCCGCUGCCAUCCGGAUGAAUUCGCCGGCGUGCGGCCCCAUGGACUUCGCCGCUCUGGCCGCCGGCAUCUUCGCCGCCCCCGACCCACGUUAUUACCACUCCGGCGACCGCGACUACGCUCCCCCAACCAUCGUCUACAACACGUGGACCGCUGCCGUGGCCGCGGCCCCGCCCCUUCCGUCUGGGGUCCCUGCCUUGGGGGCCGCCAUGGCUGCCGGUGGAAAGCUAUACGCCUUGACAAAUCAGGUGCUCAGCUUGCAGGCCCUGUCGUCGUGGGCUCCCAUCGACGAUAGAUUGAGCGAUCAAGAGAGGGAUUGGAUAUGGAACACCGUGCCGUCGCCGCCUCCGUGCAGUGGGCUGGAUGUCGUCGCCUACGCGCUGCACCCGGACGGACGCACCAUCUUCAUGUCCACCGCCUCCGCUACCCAUUGCUUGGACACCAGCAGCGGCUCGUGGAAGGAGCUCGGGGACUGGGUGCUGCCAUUCAAAGGCCAGGCAUACUUCGACGCCUACCAGCUGGACGCGUGGGUCGGGAUCCAUCACAAGGAGGAAGGAAGGAUACGUCUGCUGCUGCCCUGUCGCCUCCCGCGGCGCCACCGCCGGCCGGCCGCCGGGUUGCAGGAUGCUCAAGGAGAAGCUGUUCCGCCACAACAAUGA